UGAAGUGUUGCUCAGUGGUACAGCAUUUGCCUGUCAUGCAUGACCCUGGGUUCCACCCCCAGCACUGCAA
rnacentral:tRNA from 1 species